AUCGCAGUGGUUCACAGUUCACUGGAGCAAGGCAAUGGCUUAAGCUUCAGUCUGUUCUGUACUUAAAGCUAUUGUAUGGAUUCAGAAGACUUGGACUUUAGUCAUAAAUCUAUAGAGUCAUAUGGACUACUUUCAUGAUGCUUUGCUUAUGUCUUUGGUGAUUUUUGCAACUUAAGUGAGGUCAGCUGUCAUUGUAUAUUAAAACAACUUGAUUGAAGAUCUUUACAAGUUUGGAGCGACAAGAGUGUGUGCUCUGUGUACACAUGCUGUGCUGGUUUUGAUCCCCAUACCUUAUCUCCUUGUGAAAAAGACAGGUUGGGCUGUCAGGUUAUGGAGGGGAGGCUGGAGCAGGGAUCUGUUCUGUCAUCUUGCUCAGCCUGUCUUCAUGCUUCAUUAGCAGGGCCUGUCAGAUGACACUCGUGGGUCUCAGCUAAUCACUGUAAUGGCUGUUGGAGGCCUGACAUUCACUGUCUGACCACCACCUAUAGCUCCGCUGACCUAGAACAUUCUCUCCUUGGGCCUUCC
ensembl:lncRNA